rnacentral:rRNA from 1 species
UACGGAGGGUGCAAGCGUUGUCCGGAUUUAUUGGGUUUAAAGGGUGCGUAGGCGGCCCAUUAAGUCAGCGGUGAAAGCCCGGGGCUCAACCCCGGAACCGCCGUUGAUACUGGUGGGCUUGAGUACAGACGAGGUAGGCGGAAUUGAGGGUGUAGCGGUGAAAUGCUUAGAUACCCUCAAGAACACCGAUUGCGUAGGCAGCUUACUAGGCUGUAACUGACGCUGAGGCACGAAAGCGUGGGGAGCGAACAGG